CGCGACCCAAGGUCAAGUGGGG
rnacentral:rRNA from 1 species